ACCCAGGUCAGCAAGGCUGGCACCCUCCCCGCUGUUCUAUCUCCGGCCCCCCUCUAUGUGAUUUUAAACUUAAACAGUAUUUGUCUGUCAAUUGUACUGUGUUAGCAGGUUCUUCUCAAUUUAAACCUUCUCUCAUCUCUUGGCUGGAGCAUGGAGACUUGAGGACCGGGGAGAGUGGAGGCGUUAAGGAAUGGGAACCUCAACUUCAAGAAUUGGCCUUUGGUCCAUUUCAGUUUGGAAAGGCAGUAUGCGGUCAGUUGGAAAAGCAGGGAGGCAGGCAGCGUUGGUGGACCGUGCAGGACUGUGAACGGUGUGAGGAAGACGUCUUCCAGGAACAUUCUGGACUUGGUGCCCCUGGGGAUAUUCAGACUGGAGAGAUCUCGCCAGAUGAUAAGCCAAAAGAAAGCAGCUGUCUUUCACUGAAAUUAGCUGUGG